rnacentral:rRNA from 1 species
UGGGUGACCUGCCCUCAGCUCUGGGAUAAGCCUGGGAAACUGGGUCUAAUACUGGAUAUGACUGCGCAUCGCAUGGUGUGUGGUGGAAAGUCCUGGGCUUAAUUGUCUGGGUUCGGCUGGGGAUGGGCCCGCGGCCUAUCAGCUUGUUGGUGGGGUGAUGGCCUACCAAGGCGACGACGGGUAGCCGGCCUGAGAGGGCGUCCGGCCACACUGGGACUGAGACAGGCCCA